rnacentral:lncRNA from 1 species
GAAAAUUCUAAGUACCAAGAAUGUUCAGUAAAUUAAGAUCUACAAACACAUCACUAUCAGCAAAACACAAUUUUGUCAUGAAUCCAUCUGUGUCCUUUGUUUAAUAUGCACAUAGACCAAGGUGAGCGACACAGGCUCUUUGGAGCCUCUAGUUUAUUCAUACAUACUGUCAAAUCCAAAUAACUGAAAUUACGUAUAAAUUAUCAACAUAUUUUAGUUGCUUGACUUGUAAAUGCCAAUACACAAUGUUAUUGCUAGGUUUUUCGGUAUUGCAAGCUUGUUGCCAAUGUCUAGAUCUUUCUAGAGACUUUAAAACUCUAAUCAGAGAUAAAUCUGUAUUUUUAAGGAUUACAUUUUUAUAGAGACAUUUUCAUGACUGACAUUAUGUUGUGUACCUAUAGCUAAAUGACAAAGAAUAAAAGAGAUGAAAAUAUGGAUUAUAUUUGAAUGUAUGGGGAAAGGGAUUUUGUUAUGAGCUGGGGGAAAUAAAUUUUUGUAAAACAUGCAUAUUUAGUUGUUUUUCUGUUGCUUAAUUAUCAAGUAGAAAACUUCAAAUCAGGUAUCUGAAAUAAAAACAAGCCUGAUUUUGUUGAAGUGAUAAUUUUUAUGCCCAACUACGAUAAAAUAGCGGCAAAUAUGUUUUCUGGUAUGUGGGUCCGUUCAUUAGUUUGUCCUUCCAUUUGUCCGUCCGUCUGUCCCCCUUAAGGUUAAAGUUUUUGGUCAAGGUAGUUUU